ACGCUGGCGGCGGGCCUAACACAUGCAAGUCGAACGAGAUGCCUUCGGGCAUCUAGUGGCGAACGGGUGAGUAACACGUGAGGAACCUGCCCCGAAGACGGGGAUAACCGUGGGAAACUGCGGCUAAUACCCGAUACCCCCGAUGCGGCGCAUGCCGCGACGAGGAAAUGCUCCGGUGCUUCGGGAGGGUCUCGCGGCCUAUCAGCUAGUUGGUGAGGUAACGGCUCACCAAGGCUUCGACGGGUAGCUGGUCUGAGAGGACGAUCAGCCACACUGGGACUGAGACACGGCCCAGACUCCUGCGGGAGGCAGCAGUGGGGAAUCUUGCGCAAUGGGCGAAAGCCUGACGCAGCCACGCCGCGUGGGGGACGAAGGCCCUCGGGUUGUAAACCCCUUUCAGCAGGGACGAAAAUGACGGUACCUGCAGAAGAAGCUCCGGCCAACUACGUGCCAGCAGCCGCGGUAACACGUAGGGAGCAAGCGUUGUCCGGAUUUAUUGGGCGUAAAGGGCUCGUANGCGGUUUGGUAAGUCAGGUGUGAAAGCUCAGGGCUCAACUCUGAGAAGCCAUCUGAAACUGCCAUGACUA
rnacentral:rRNA from 1 species